GUCUUUCAAGUCCGAUGCUAAAGACUGGGGCUCAACCCCAGGGGUGCGUUGGAUACUGUGAGGCUAGACGGUCGGAGGGGGUAGCGGAAUUUCCGGAGUAGCGGUGAAAUGCGCAGAUACCGGAAGGAACGCCAAUAGCGAAGGCAGCUACCUGGACGACUUGUGACGCUGAGGCGCGAAAGCGUGGGGAGCAAACCGGAUUAGAUACCCGGGUAGUCCACGCCCUAAACCAUGAGUGCUGGGUGUCCGGCUUCUGCUGGGUGCCGUAGCUAACGCGCUAAGCACUCCGCCUGGGAAGUACGCACGCAAGUGUGAAACUCAAAGGAAUUGACGGGGGCCCGCACAAGCGGUGGAGCAUGUGGUUUAAUUCGAAGCGACGCGAAGAACCUUACCAGGCCUUGACAUGCCCGGAACCCCUCUGAAAGGAGGGGGUGCCCGCAAGGGAGCCGGGACACAGGUGCUGCAUGGCCGUCGUCAGCUCGUGUCGUGAGAUGUUGGGUUAAGUCCCGCAACGAGCGCAACCCCUAUCCCUAGUUGCCAGCAGUUCGGCUGGGCACUCUAUGGAGACUGCCUGCGAAAGCAGGAGGAAGGCGGGGAUGACGUCUGGUCCGCAUGGCCCUUACGGCCUGGGCGACACACGUGCUACAAUGCCAAGGACAGAGCGCUGCUACCUCGCGAGAGGACGCCAAUCGCAAAAACCUUGGCUCAGUUCGGAUUGGAGUCUGCAACUCGACUCCAUGAAGCCGGAAUCGCUAGUAAU
rnacentral:rRNA from 1 species